GGUGAAAUGGCUGAUUUAAGGUGAUAAACUGUAAAUUUAUUUAUGAGAAUUUUUCUCUUUCACCA
rnacentral:tRNA from 1 species